rnacentral:rRNA from 1 species
CCUACGGGUGGCUGCAGUGGGGAAUAUUGGACAAUGGGCGAAAGCCUGAUCCAGCCAUGCCGCAUGUGUGAAGAAGGCCUUCGGGUUGUAAAGCACUUUCAGUGGGGAAGAAAGCCUUGGGGCUAAUACCCUCGAGGAAGGACAUCACCCACAGAAGAAGCACCGGCUAACUCCGUGCCAGCAGCCGCGGUAAUACGGAGGGUGCGAGCGUUAAUCGGAAUUACUGGGCGUAAAGCGCGCGUAGGCGGUCUGAUAAGCCGGUUGUGAAAGCCCCGGGCUCAACCUGGGAACGGCAUCCGGAACUGUCAGGCUAGAGUGCAGGAGAGGAAGGUAGAAUUCCCGGUGUAGCGGUGAAAUGCGUAGAGAUCGGGAGGAAUACCAGUGGCGAAGGCGGCCUUCUGGACUGACACUGACGCUGAGGUGCGAAAGCGUGGGUAGCAAACAGGAUUAGAUACCCGAGUAUUC